AAGGAUAAGGGGCUGGGUAGCUCAGUGGCCUAUGCUGCCUGCCCUUGGGAGACCCAGACCCAGGGCUGCCCCCACCACAGGCUAGCUUGCAACUCUCCCCCAACUCCUCUCCUGCCUCACCAACAAAUAUUCACCAUGUGGAGGGUGAGGACCCAGAGAUGUAAGGAUCACCUGUCUCUACCCUGAAAACUUACAGAUGGGGUGACCUGAUAUUUACACAAAGUAGUAGCCUAUACCAGCCACCCAAUGAGAAGACAGACAAGUACGAUGGAAAGCCUUCUCUUCAGACCUAGGGAAGUGGUUUUGAAGAAAGGAUAGGUCUGAAGAGAAGUUAAGGAAGGGAUCUCAAGCAGGACAUGAACAAAGUUGCAAAGCGGCUCCACCUUCCUACUCCCAGUUCAUACUCGAUCCCUCCCGCUCACCCGGACCACCAGACUCCGGGAUCCCUCCAAGAAGUGGCUGAAGGGAGGUAAAGCGCACGAACUCCACUCCGGUGCCAAAGGCCAGGAUGAAAGAGGCGAGGGCGGCAGGGACCAGGAGCAGUGCCGGGGCCAUGGCGAGAAAUGGAGGGGUGGGGAAAGGGGCGGGGUCGGGAUUCCCGCUACCACAGACCCCGCCCCCGCCCCGCCCCCCGCACAGAACCCAGCCCAGGAGGGCGGGGCCCCUGCACACCGCUCGCUGCCCGACUUCCGGCCCGCGGGGCUCCGCCUCUCACACCCAGCGGCGGACCGGUGCCGGGAUUCGUGUCCCAGCCUGCGGUGUCUCCAUCACAGAAGGGAAUGUUAGAAUCCCGUCUGUGUUAGAGACAGAGAGCUGUUAAGGGUAGUGGCUCUGCAGCCGCUCACAUGGAUUGAAUCUCAGCUCGUCUAGUUUUCCCAUCUAAAAUGAAAAGUGACUAUUUUACAACAAAAUAAAUUAAUGCUUAUUCU